CUGAGAUGAUGUUGACUUUUAUGUUGUUGGUUUAUCUAUCUUUUAUGUUGUUGGUUGACACAGCCCUCAGAAGCCCUGCCAGAAUAACAGCGAGGCCUGUUGAAAAAAAGGCUGUUCUGAAUCUGCGCCCGUCGUGACGUCACGGCAGGAGCUCAUUUCCAUAGGUCGGCCUCCGCUGCUGAAACCACGGCCACCACUCUCUCCGCCGGCUGGAGCUCCGCCAUUGUUUAGAAGCGCCGGCUGUUUCCACCGCGAGGGAGAGUUAAAAUGAGGUUUUGCAUCGACAUUUACCCUCAUAAAAGGAUCACUGCCCACAGUACGGACCCGGCAACUGCACACGAGUCAGCGAUCUUCCAAGCAAUGCACCUGGAGCUGUUCAACGACACAUUCAGAAGACGCGCGGUCCUUCCUUGAGCCAGCAAUAGUG